rnacentral:rRNA from 1 species
GGACGGGUGAGUAACACGUGGGCAACCUGCCCUGAAGUGGGGGAUAACAUCUGGAAACAGGUGCUAAUACCGCAUAACAACGAAAACCACAUGGUUUUCGUUUCAAAGAUGGUUUCGGCUAUCGCUUCAGGAUGGGCCCGCGGUGCAUUAGCUAGUUGGUAAGGUAACGGCUUACCAAGGCGAUGAUGCAUAGCCGAGUUGAGAGACUGAUCGGCCACAAUGGAACUGAGACACGGUCCAUACUCCUACGGGAGGCAGCAGUAGGGAAUCUUCCACAAUGGGCGCAAGCCUGAUGGAGCAACACCGCGUGAGUGAAGAAGGGUUUCGGUUCGUAAAGCUCUGUUGUUGGAGAAGAACGUGUGUGAGAGUAACUGUUCACGCAGUGACUGGGUGGUUUUAAAGUCCAACCCAGAAAGUCACGGCUAACUACGUGCCAGCAGCCGCGGUAAUACGUAGGUGGCAAGCGUUAUUCGGAUUUAUUGGGCGUAAAGCGAGCGCAGGCGGUUGCUUAGGUCUGAUGUGAAAGCCUUCGGCUUAACCGAAGAAGUGCAUCGGAAACCGGGCGACUUGAGUGCAGAAGAGGACAGUGGAACUCCAUGUGUACCGGUGGAAUGCGUAGAUAUAUGGAAGAACACCAGUGGCGAAGGCGGCUGUCUGGUCUGCAACUGACGCUGAGGCUCGAAAGCAUGGGUAGCGAACAGGAUUAGAUACCCUGGUAGUCCAUGCCGUAAACGAUGAGUGCUAGGUGUUGGAGGGUUUCCGCCCUUCAGUGCCGGAGCUAACGCAUUAAGCACUCCGCCUGGGGAGUACGACCGCAAGGUUGAAACUCAAAGGAAUUGACGGGGGCCCGCACAAGCGGUGGAGCAUGUGGUUUAAUUCGAAGC